AGUUGGCAACACUGAGCAGAUGUGGCCGAUGAUGGUGUCAGACACAAUGAAGAACACAUCUGGGAUGUAGCGAGAAAACCAAUCACUGUUGUAGACCACAAUUUUGCAUUUUUACAUUUUUUAAAGGAUGUACCACCAGAAGUAUUUCCUCUGUGAGACGAAGGUCAGAGCCAGCAGCGUCUGCAGAUACAUGCCCUCCACCAGCAGCCAGAAGUAAUUGGCCAGGAUGCUGAACUGGAAGAAAGCCACAGCUGACUUGCACGCUGUCUAUAGAGAGGAAACAAAACAAAGGUAGAAAAACUGGAUGUGUCAUUAUUUAACAUAAA